rnacentral:lncRNA from 1 species
GGCUUCAGCAACAUUGUCGGCCCAAUUUUCAUUCUUAAGGGCAAUAAUGGAUCGCUUAUUGGACCUGGUUCGUCAAGCAAAGGUGGUGUUGUGGCCUCUUCUCUAUUUGGGGGGGUCUGCGAAAAGAAAAUAGACUAUUUUGAUAGUGGGCCUUGGUGUUAGCUUGGAAAGUAGGGCCCAAUCCGUCAUGGCCUAGUUAUGGAAGGGCCCAGGACAGCAGAUUGCAUCUGUUGCUGGUAGCAGUGUUGGUAAUCCGGCAGCGGCUGAAGGUUUAUCCGAUCUGUGUAAUGAAGCUUCCGUCGGGAACGGUGGUGAUAGGCCUCACUUCUCUUUAGCCCUGACCCAAGUCUUUGAUGGUCAAUGGAACGAAGUGGCGGCGGUGGGGGUUGGAAACCUGGAUCCCGAUAGGCACACGGCUGUAACUUUUCAAUAGGGAAAGAAAGCAAACACUGCCCUUCCAGCUACGAGGGAGACAGACCUGGUUUUGGAGCACAAUGAAGCCUUAGUUAGGGGAAGGGAAAUUCAAACCAGAACUGGACGUAUUGCAAAAAAAAAAAAAAAAAAUCUCCCAUGGUCGUAGUAGUCGGUUUAAACCCAUUGCUGGUCCUAAGGUUUGAAUAAAAGAAUCAAUGGCUCAACUAGCAGAGAGCCUUUAGACGCACCUUGUUGCGGAAAAUGCUGAAGAAGGUCCCUCCAUC